GAGCUCGCUUCGGCAGUACAUAUACUGAAAUUGGAAUGAUAGAGAGAAGAUUAGCAUGGCCCCUGCGCAAGGAUGAUACAGCACCGUUCUUGUGAGUUAUAGAGGUGGGUU